rnacentral:rRNA from 1 species
CCUACGGGCGGCAGCAGUCGAGAAUCAUUCACAAUGGGGGAAACCCUGAUGGUGCGACGCCGCGUGGGGGAAUGAAGGUCUUCGGAUUGUAAACCCCUGUCAUGUGGGAGCAAAUUAAAAAGAUCGUACCACAAGAGGAAGAGACGGCUAACUCUGUGCCAGCAGCCGCGGUAAUACAGAGGUCUCAAGCGUUGUUCGGAAUCACUGGGCGUAAAGCGUGCGUAGGCUGUUUCGUAAGUCGUGUGUGAAAGGCGCGGGCUCAACCCGCGGACGGCACAUGAUACUGCGAGACUAGAGUAAGGGAGGGGGAACCGGAAUUCUCGGUGUAGCAGUGAAAUGCGUAGAUAUCGAGAGGAACACUCGUGGCGAAGGCGGGUUCCUGGACAUUAACUGACGCUGAGGCACGAAGGCCAGGGGAGCGAAAGGGAUUAGAUACCCCUGUAGUC